rnacentral:pre_miRNA from 1 species
UUUCUACUCCCUCCGUCCGAAAAUACUUGUCAUCAAAAUGGAUAAAAAUAGAUGUAUCUAAAACUAAAAUACGUCUAGAUACAUUUCCUUUUAUCCAUUUUGAUGACAAGUAUUUUCGGAUGGAGGGAGUAUUUG